rnacentral:snRNA from 1 species
CUACUCUGGUCUCUCUUCAGAUCGUAUAAAUCUUUCGCCUUUUACUAAAGAUUUCCGUGGAGAGGAACAAUUCUGAGUCUGAUAGCAG